GGGCGCUUAGCUCAGUCUGGUCAGAGCACCUGCCUUACAAGCAGGGGGUCACAGGUUCGAGUCCUGUAGCGCCCA
rnacentral:tRNA from 1 species